GAGACAGAGCAAAGCAAAGAAAUGAUGGAGGCGGUGGAUGUUGAACCAAUACAAGCGAGGCCUUACGAGGGCGAAGAGUCGGAAGGCGAGGCGGCCGUGAGUCGGACCAGUGAGCUCACCAUCGCCUUCGAGGGCGAGGUCUUCGUUUUCCCCGCCGUUACUCCCGACAAGCAUUUGAGGGAUCAUCUUACGAAUGUCUGCUAUUAGUAGUCCAUGAGCAAUUUGCCAUCUUCACUGAUCCAAAACAUACAUUUUAAUACGAUCUGCAGAACCAACAUAUGUAGAACAUUUAUCCUUUUGUUUUCAAACAAGUUUAUGUUCUCAGUCUGAUCAAAGAUAUGGAGUCAAUUUGUAGGUACGAGCAGUGCUCUUGCUAUUAGGAGCACGUGAUAUACCAGCCAGCCAUAUACCAAGCAGCGUCCCUAGCUCUGGGUUUUCUCUACAACAGAAUAGCAUGGUAAUCCUGUAAAGACUUUUCAUUUUGUGGGUUUUAAUAUUUUCUCUAAUUAAGGUAUUUUUAAAAUAACUCUGUAGGGCAUAGGUGACAUCUCACGAAAUUCAAAACUUUCACGAAGAUUUGCAUCUCUUGUUAGGUUCCGUGAAAAACGGAAAGAGAGGUGCUUUGACAAGAAAAUUCGGUACACUUGCCGUAAAGACAUUGCUGAGAGGUACUGCAUCCUGUCUUGAUGACUUUUAUCAUAAUGCAUGGAAUACUUUUCUUUAUUUUUCUGGCUGAUGCUAUAGUGAUUGGUGGAAUGCCGCUGUGGCCUCUAGACUGUUAUUAUAUCUUAUGAAAAACAAUGGGUUCUGAAGGAUUGAUUUUACUUGAUGUCUUGCAUUACUAGGGAAUCAGCCUUUUUUCUUUUUUUCAUUUUGAUGACUUUUGAUCCAAUGCACAUUCAAAUUUUUUUCUUUUAUUUCACUUGGACUGCUAUCUAGAUUUGUUUUUUCUUCUAUUUAAAAAAUUAACUGUAGAUCCAAGUGAAUAUUUGGAAGUUAAUCUUUUUUCGUUUAGUAUAAGGACUUUGCUGUCUUGGUUCCCAGCUGUAUUCUGGCAGUUUAAUCUGAUUUUUUUUUUUUCCUUCAAAGAGAGUUUACCCUAUCCUUCAGACAUCAUAUCUCACCGUUGCACAUAGCAUAUGUAACGGGGAGAUAUAGUCAUGCGAGUGAGGGAAUCUUAAUAACAACCUUUAGUUUUUUAACUGAUUAGUAUUACAUGGACAUAUCUUCACUUUCUCCUAAAGUAAGACAUUAAGCCUGGUUGGUGGCAAUUGGUAGGGUGAAUACAUGGUGGCUUUUCUUGCUUCAUUGGUGACAGAAGAACCUUUUUAUGUUUAUGAGGGGAUGGGAGCGGAUGAGCUUUGGGAUCGAUUGCUCUCCUGGUCUGCAUUAUGGGCUUAGUUACUGCUACUUUUGGGGUUAAUAUACUCACAUUUGUAUAGUGAUUCAUGUGCAUGUGUUUGUUGGGUCUUCCAGAACUGAAUUUUUUCAGCACUUGAAAGAAAGCAUUGCUUUAUGCAUAGAUAAUAAUAUG